AUAAAAAUUAGUUAAUACCUAUAACAUAAACUUGUCAAGUUUAAAUAAUCCCUGAUAUUUUUA
rnacentral:tRNA from 1 species